GGAAUAGGAAAAACUAUAUAGGGAAUAGGAAACACUAUAUGGGGAAUAGGAAACACGAUAUAGGGAAUAGGAAACACUAUAUAGGGAAUAGGAAAAACUAUAUAGGGAAUAGGGAACACUAUAUGGGGAAUAGGAAACACUAUAUAGGGAAUAGGGAACACUAUAUAGGGAAUAGGGAACACUAUAUAGGGAAUAGGGAACACUAUAUAGGGAAUAGGGUGCCAUUUGGGACACAUUCAAUUCUCCAAUAAGUGUUCCUCACUCGUAGAAGCUCUCAGCAGGCGAUGCUGCGGUGAUGACAGGGUCCUCCAUGUAGUGGAACACCUGCCCAGGUACGCUCCUCUCUGCCUUCCCAAACAACACCCUCACCGUCAGCUCUGCUGUCUGGUUACUGGGGCUGGUCCUGCAUACCAGGUGGGUCCCAUUCACCUCCUCAACACUGAGGAAGAGGAGAGGAGAGAGAGUUAUCAUUAUGGUGUCUGUCUGGUUACUGGGGCUGGUCCUGCAUACCAGGUGAGUCCCAUUUACCUCCUCAACACUGGGGAAGAGGAGAGGAGAGAGUUAUCAUUAUGGUGUCUGUCUGGUUACUGGGGCUGGUCCUGCAUACCAGGUGAGUCCCAUUUACCUCCUCAACACUGGGGAAGAGGAGAGGAGAGAGUUAUCAUUAUGGUGUCUGUCUGGUUACUGGGGCUGGUCCUGCAUACCAGGUGGGUCCCAUUCACCUCCUCAACACUGAGGAAGAGGAGAGGAGAGAGUUAUCAUUAUGGUGUCUGUCUGGUUACUGGGGCUGGUCCUGUAUACCAGGUGAGUCCCAUUCACCUCCUCAACACUAUAGCAGGGUUGUUGUCCUACGUAUGCAGUCAGGUCCUUCCUCUGUCCCGUUAGUAGCCGAGUCCCCUGGACUGUCAGGCUGGUCCCUCCUGAUACAGGGCCCUUAUCAGGGACAAUACCGGUUAACUGGGGGUCCUACACAGAGGGAGACAUGUUUAUACUGUAGUAUCUAACCAUAGCCGUAACCCUGGACUUUCAGGCUGGUCCCUCCUGAAACAGGGCCCUUAUCAGGGACUAUAGCAGUCAACUGGGGGUCAGAUGCACAUGUGUUUAAUAGUCACGUGUACAGGGUUCCAGGUGUGAUUUCAGGUUUCAGGUGUAGGCUCCGAGCUCCAACAGGACUAAGUUAAAUAAAAUAAUGACAAUGGUAGCUGGUCGGUAGCUGACUAGUGGUGGCUAUUCAGCAGUCUGGUGGUCUGAGGGUAGAAACUAUGGGCCAGUCUCUAUGGGCCAGUCUCUAUGGGCCAGUCUCUAUGGGCCAGUCUCUAUGGGCCAGUCCCUAUGGGCCAGUCCCUAUGGGCCAGUCCCUAUUGGCCAGUCCCUAUUGGCCAGUCUUCCAGUGUUUGCCAUGAUGCUCUACUACUGCCCGUGUGGGAACGAUUGAAGCAGGAAGACCUGGGCGUGACUUGGGUGGUUGGUUUGGGUUCCUGAUGAUCUUCCUGGCCUUCCUGCAACACCUGGUGUAGGGCAGGCAGUGUUCACCCAGUGGUGCGUUCAGCUGCACGGUAUCACCCUCCGAAGAGCCUCGCGGCGCGCGGUGGAGUUGCCGUAUCAGGCGGUGAAGCUCUCGAUGGUGCUCCUGUAUAACACUGUGAGGGCCCCCUGGGACAGGUUGAAUUUCUUCAGCAUCCCGAGGUUGAAGAGUCACUGUCGUGCCUUCUUCACCACGAUGUCCGUGUGAAGACCAUUUCAGCUUCUCUGAGAUGUGUACGUCGAGGAAUUCAGUAGUUUGACUGUCUCCACAGAGUUCCAACUUCAUCAAGUUCAUCAACUUCAUCAAGUUCAUCAAGUUGAUGAGAAUGGGGGCAUGUCCAGCUUGGUCAAUUAUUUUGUUUUGCUAACGUUGAAGGACAGGUUGUUUACCUGGCACCACGCGGUCAGAGUGACAACCUUCUCCCUGUCUCGUGGUUGCUGGUGAUCAGGCCUACUACUGUCGUGUCAUUAGAGAACUUGAUGAAGUUGGAACUGUGUGAGGCCACAUAGUCGUGGGUAUACAGGGAAUACAGGAGGGGACUGAGUACGCACCCUUGUGGGGCCCCCGUGUUGAGAAUCAGUGUCGAUUAAGUAAUAUUGCCUACCUUCACCACCUGGGCGGCCCGUCAGGAAGUCCAGGACCCAGUUACAUAGUGAGGAGUUCAGACCCAGGGCCGUGAGCUUUGUAAUGAGCUGAUAGGACACUAUGGUAUUGAAGGCUGAGCUGUAGUCGAUGAACAGCAUCCUCACAUAUACAGUUGAAGUUGGAAGUUUACAUACACUUAGGUUGGAGUCAUUAAAACUCGUUUUUCAACCACUCCACAAAUUUCUUGUUAACAAACUAUAGUUUUGGCAAGUCGGUUAGGACAUCUACUUUGUGCAUGACACAAGUAAGUUUUCCAACAAUUGUUUACAGACAGAUUAUUUCACUUACAAUUCACUGUAUCACAAUUCCAGUGGGUCAGAGGUUUACAUACACUAAGUUGACUGUGCCUUUAAACAGCUUGGAAAAUUCCAGAAAAUGAUGCCAUGGCUUUAGAAGCUUCUGAUAGGCUAAUUGACAUAAUUUGAGUCAGUUGGAUGUGUACCUGUGGAUGUAUUUCAAGGCCUACCUUCAAACUCAGUGCCUCUUUGCUUGACAUCAUGGGAAAAUCAAAAGAAAUCAACCAAGACCUCAGAAAAAAAAGUGUAGACCUUCACAAGUCUGGUUCAUCCUUGGGAGCAAUUUCUAAACACCUGAAGGUACCACGUUCAUCUGUACAAACAACAGUACGCAAAUAAAAACAUAAUGGGACCACGAAGCCGUCAUACCACUCAGGAAGGAGACGCGUUCGGUCUCCUGGAGAUGAAUGUGCUUUGGUGCGAAAAGUCCCAAAUCAAUCCCAGAACAACAGCAAAGGACUCUGUGAAGAUGCUGGAGGAAACAGGUACAGAAGUAUCUAUAUCCACAGUAAAAUGAGUCCUAUAUCGACAUAACCUGAAAGGCCGCUCAGCUAGGAAAAGCCACUGCUCCAAAACAGCCAUAAAAAAGCCAGACUACAGUUUGCAACUGCACAUGGGGACAAAG
rnacentral:lncRNA from 1 species